rnacentral:rRNA from 1 species
UGGCUCAGAAUGAACGUUGGCGGCGUGGAUUAGGCAUGCAAGUCGAGCGAGAACCCGCAAGGGGGACAGCGGCGAACGGGGUAGGACAACGUAGGUAACGUACCCCCGGGGCGAGGACAGCCACGGGAAACUGUGGGUAAUACUCGAUAAACUUCCCAAUCAUUAUGGAAGGGGAAGCAAUGGGUGUGAUUCCACCUGGGGAGCGGCUUACGCAGUAUCAGCUUGUUGGUGAGGUAACGGCUCACCAAGGCGACGACGCUUAGGGGGUGUGAGAGCAUGGCCCCCACCACUGGCACUGAGACACUGGCCAGACACCUACGGGUGGCUGCAGUCGAGAAUCUUCGGCAAUGGACGCAAGUCUGACCGAGCGACGCCGCGUGCGGGAUGAAGGUCUUCGGAUUGUAAACCGCUGUCGGGAGGGGAUGAGGUGCACGGGGGUUCUCCCCUGUGUUUGACAGAGCCUCGGAGGAAGCACGGGCUAAGUUCGUG